AAGCUUUUCUUUUAUGUACCUUAUAAUCAAACAGGAGAUUAUAUAAGAAAUAAAAUCGAGAGUAUUACAAACAUGAAUAUUCCCUUGAAAUGUAAGAUAUACU